CCAAUAUUCUGUGGGUAAUUUUUAAGAGUAGGUCCACAUGUGUGCAAAUUUGGAGCAACGCGCGCCACGGUAGACUCAAUCUAUAUCGUGCUGUGCUUCGUUGCCUCACGUGUGCUCCACCUCGUCAUGUAGCGCAAAUUGCACUCUCCAAGCUUGAGCGAGUGAAUGGGAAAUCUCUACCCCAUGCCUAAAUGAUGUAGGACUGGACGGAUGCUGGAUGCUUAUCUUAAUUUGAGAAAAUCAACCCAGUUUAUAUAAGGGUUCACCCUGAUUUAGCCCGGCAACACUAGACAGAAGACAGUAGGAGCGUAUCAAAUCUACAGAGAAAGCGAGGCAAAGGAAAAUAUGGACAUAACGGACCAAGGAGCACAAAUGGAGCCGCUACUACCCUUGGAACCAGGCCCCCAGAGCCCUCAGAUACCUCAAGGAGACAAGAAUGUGAGGACUGAUGAGGAGGCGUCACUAGGACAGAGGGGGC